UCCUCUGGAGUUGUAAGCUGAAGAGGCUGUGACCGACGUGGGCCGGGUCCAAUUCCCUUGGAACAGGGAGUCAUGGAGGGUGAGAACCCCGUCUGUGACUCGGAUCCCAUCGUCCUAGUGUCGCGGUCUCCAAGAGUCGGGUUGUUUGGGAAUGCAGCUCAAAAUGGGUGGUAAAUCUCAUCUAAAGCUAAAUAUUGGCGGGAGACCGAUAGCAAACAAGUAGAGUGAUCGAAAGAUGAAAAGCACUUUGAAAAGAGAGUGAAACAGUACGUGAAAUUGUUGAAAGGGAAGCGUUUGGCAUCAGCCCAUGGCCUCCGACGAUCAUCCGGGCCUCGUGUCCGGUGCACUUGUCGGGGGUCGGGCCAGCAUCGGCUUCGUCCGUCGGAGAAAGGUCCAGAGGAUGUGGCUCCCUCACGGGAGC
rnacentral:rRNA from 1 species